rnacentral:rRNA from 1 species
CCUACGGGAGGCAGCAGUGGGGAAUAUUGGUCAAUGGACGCAAGUCUGAACCAGCGACGCCGCGUGCGGGAAGACGGCUCUCUGAGUGGUAAACUGCUUUUGUACGAGGGUAAACGCAGAUACGCGUCUCUGUCUGCAAGUAUCGUACGAAUAAGGAUCGGCUAACUCCGUGCCAGCAGCCGCGGUAAUACGGAGGAUUCAAGCGUUAUCCGGAUUUAUUGGGUUUAAAGGGUGCGUAGGCGGUCGGCUAAGUUAGAGGUGAAAGCCCGAGGCUCAACUUCGGAAGUGCCUUUGAUACUGUUCGGCUAGAGAGUAGAUGCGGUAGGCGGAAUGGAUGGUGUAGCGGUGAAAUGCUUAGAGAUCA